rnacentral:rRNA from 1 species
CCUACGGGAGGCAGCAGUGGGGAAUAUUGGUCAAUGGGCUUACGCCUGAACCAGCCAAGUCGCGUGAGGGAAGACUGCCCUAUGGGUUGUAAACCUCUUUUGUCAGGGAGCAACGCCGGCUAAGUGUAGCCGGACUGAGAGUACCUGAAGAAAAAGCAUCGGCUAACUCCGUGCCAGCAGCCGCGGUAAUACGGAGGAUGCGAGCGUUAUCCGGAUUGAUUGGGUUUAAAGGGUGCGUAGGCGGAAUGCCAAGUCAGCGGUAAAAUCGCGGGGCUCAACCUCGCUCCGCCGUUGAAACUGGCGUUCUUGAGUGGGCGAGAAGUAUGCGGAAUGCGUGGUGUAGCGGUGAAAUGCAUAGAUAUCACGCAGAACUCCGAUUGCGAAGGCAGCAUACCGGCGCCCAACUGACGCUGAAGCACGAAAGCGUGGGUAUCGAACAGGAUUAGAUACCCCUGUAGUC